CCCGCCCAUUCAGGCCGGAUGGGGCAUCCAGCCAGGGCCCCGGCACGGACGCAGGAUUUGCCCUCUUCCUUUGGCCCUGCCCGGCUCCCUCCCCCGUCCCGGGAGGCAGAGGAAGCUGGACUGCGCCUCGUUCUUCCCGAUCGCCGUCGCUGUCAAUUGUCUCUCCUUUCAAGGAUGAUCUCUACCGUGGCUCAUUGAUGGGUCUUGAGGUGACUUCAGUCCAGUCCUCGAGCCACAGAUCGGUCCACAGAAGUUGCGGGUCUUUCUGCAGGGGAAGUAGGAUGCCGGCUGGGAUUUUGAUCCUUUUCCUUCUUUCGGACUCUGUCCGACCAGCAAGCACACACGAACCAUGGACACUAAUAUCACCCAGUCUGCAUUUAAAGAAAACUGUAAUGAUAUUGGUCAGCAUUUGGUUUAUACCGGGGUGCCAAACAUAAGGCCCCAACGCUGGAUUCAGCUUAUGAGCCAAUGAGCUCUGUUGCUGAACCAGCCCCAUGUGCUCUGUGCUGCAUAAUAUUCUUUCAAAGGAAGCCUUGUCUUUCAUGACAGUGGGCCAAAAGGACCCUGUAGUGACUUCUGAGUGUGCUCAGACCUAUAAACUACUAUUUUCCUACAACUUCUGGUGAAGACCUACAAGCACUUAAUAGCAGCGCUUAGAAAGAUUAAAUGCUCCUGAUUUAUUUUCAGAAAUGGACUUUUGCUGAUAUUUCUAGAUUGUGUCAUGAUUGCUAUGUUCAUCAGUUAAAGCCCUGAUCUCAUUAUUUCAGCAGCUGCAAACACAUGCUUACCGCUGUCUAAUUUGACCAAUGCAGCUACACUAAUUUCAGGCCAGUCGUUGAUGAAGUACAGCUUAGAGCAGUGGCUCUCAAUCUUUUCAGGAUCAGGGCUCCCCCUCCACCACUUCUAUGAAUUGGCAGCAUCUCCUAUUGAGAACUGUUGGUGCUUCCUCACUUCACUUCAGUGUUUCUUGACUUGACUGGGUAUUGCUGCCUGUGAUAAAACUGUCAGGCACCUGCUUAUCAGCCAGCCCAGGAAGAGCUGUGGCAUGUAUACAUAUUCCUCAUGCAGUAGGACUUUUGAUCAGCCUAAAGCAGGCAGGAGCCACCUCAUGCUGUGUAGCCCUUCCUGGUUCACCUGCCCCUUCCCCUGCUCCUGCCAGAAACGGGUACUUUAGUGGAACUGUCCUGUAAACCCCUGUCUCUUGGGGGAGUGUAGGAGGGGCCUGCCCAGGAAAGGCUAAGAUGAGCUAGCUCCUGCCUACUUUAGGCUGAUCAGAAAGCAGCAGGAGUGUGCACCAGGGUAGUCUUACCUGGCUGCAGCCACAGUGCAACACCCUGGAUGAGAACCACUGGGUUAGAGAAAGAAGAGCCACCUUAAAAUCUUCCCAUUCUGCAGGCUUGUUGGUUGUGUAGUACAUCAGCUGAGAACCAACAGGGCUUGUGCUCAAUAGCUGUUGUUUCUGGCAGGUUGGGAAAAAAGUAUUCAGUGCAGUAUAGCAGAAUGCAAAUGGCUUCAUAAUGUCAGCUGUUAUGAGCAUUCAGAAGGGAUGGAACAUUCGAGGCCAUUGGUAAAGGACAUUGGCAGUGUG